GUAGGGGUGGUCAGAAUUGUUUCCCAUUCCAUAAUGCCUGAUGUUAUUUUCAAGUUUUAUAUUAUCUUAAGGUGUAUAUGUUUGUUUUCGUUUUAUAUAUAUUAUAUAUAAAUAGAUCUAUUUUACAGUACUGGAAUCAAACCCAGGACCUAGCACAUACUAAGCAAGUACUCUGCCACUGUUUGCUUGCUUGCUUGUUUUUUUUAAUUCUUAAAUUCUGUCAGCAAAAAAAAAGUUUUUUUUCCAUGGGAAACAGGGAAGCUGCUCUCACAAUAGAUGUACUAUCCUUAUCAUUUUUUUUCCUUUUUUGUUUUUGUUUUUCAAGACAGGGUUUCUCUGUAUAGUCCUGACUGGCCUGAAGCUCUGUAAAUCAGGCUGGCCUUCAAUUUAGAGAUCACUUGUCUCUGCCUCCCAAGCGCUGGAAUUAAAGGCGUGCGCCACCACACCUGCUUUAGCUUUGCUAUCUUUAUUCUACCAUUUUAAUAAAGGUAAACUAAGUUCCUGUUUUGGUCUUUGAGACAGGGUCUCAUAGUGUAGCUCUGCCUAGCCUGGAAUUUACAUUGUAGGCCAGGCUAGUGUUGAACUCACAGAGAUCUGCCUGCCUCUGGACUCCUGAAGACUGACAGUAAAGGCAUGCAUGUAUUACCAUGGAGGUAGCUCAUUGAUCUUUUAAGGUUCCUCAUAUAAUUUAAUGUCUUUAUCAAGAUUUUAAGAGAGCUCUUUACAUUCCUACUGGUUUGCUUGAGCUAUACAAACUGCCACUUGAGAGAACAAUAGAUUAUUGGUCAUCCAAUAUGCCUAUGGACCCGUAUAAACUGGAUCUACAAACAUUUUAACUGGACCAGGUUGGGGAUUGAAGUAAUUCAUUAAAUGUGCUCUGCAAAGAUUUUGCUUAAUGGUUACAUUCGGUAGCUAUGAUCUAGGUUUUUAUGUUCUGCCUUCAGAGCAGCCAUCAGGGCUGGUAGAGGAGCUAUUGUUGGUUUGUGCUGAGACCUGCACCUGACUGAGAAAGAUAGAAGUUGAGGUGGUUUUUUCCUGGUGAGCAUCUGUGUAGGAAUUUAAGGCAUAGUGUUAUGAAUGUAUCAUGUCUUCAUUAGCAACAGGAAAAUAUACACGGUGUUUACUAAAAUUGUUUACUACAGUAAAAUUCCCUUUUAUUUUUUUAGUAGUCCAAGUUCUUGAGUUUUUCAAGACAGAUUGUUUUCUGAACCGAGCUAUCAUUUUAGGAAGGAGAGUUAAUUAAGCCAGAAUUUUGUGUGUAAAAAGAGCAUUUUUUACCCAGGUGUUUGUGUGUUCCUCGGAGAGUGGGAGUAUGGUCCAAGUGAAUCCAUUCGGUCACUCCCGUAGCAUGCCCUUGUAGUUUCUCUUGACCAAGGAUGAACUAGUCCUGUGAGCUGGCCGUCAGCUCCUGCAUAUGUGUAUAAACCUCAGAUGUUACUACGUUUUAUACCUACCAGAGCUCUUCAAGCAAUAGUAUUUGAACCACUAGCCUUUUAAAUAAAACUCUGUCCUAUUGCUAACAUGCAGAUAUGGAGUCCACUGUCAUUUCUUGCCAGGUUUAUUUGUGCUGGUUUAGGGGUAAAAUUGUUAAAAUUGUUGGUCAGUUUUUCUUUGGUUGACAUCCCAGAUUGCUUCAGUGACAAACUGGUUAGUCUUUGUGUGUUUUUAAAGACGUGAACAGAACUACUUUGCCAUUGGCUAAGGGCCUGGCAGCCAGCAGAGACACUGCUUUGUUUUGGUUUUUUGGUAGGUGGGGUGGUGAUGUUCUUAGGCAGAGUCUACAGUACCCUGGCUGUCCUUGAACUUUGGUGAUCCUCCUGUCUCUGUCUCUCCAGUACUGGAAUUACAGGCCUAUUUCACCAUGCUUGACUUAUUCUGUUCCUUUCCCAACAUUUUUCUUCUCUUGAGACAGGGUCUCAGUGUAGUACAGUCUGUCUUACCAUGAGCUGUGGAUGCCCUUGAACUCGGUCCUUCUGCGCCAUGUCUCUACUGUAGCAGGUUGGAGAUGCCCUGGCAUUGUAGAUUACCAUUGGCAGUGCUCUGGCCACCAUGUCAGGUCUGCUAGGAUUGUUGAGGACUUCUAUCCAAUCCUGAUACUUCUGUCAAAAACCUCACCCAGCAAAAUAAGUCUUGACUAGCUAGCUCAUGGCCAGUUCUUUAAAGAAUUAUAAUUCAUUGUUUUAAAAAGUCCCAAUUUCUGUUUGCAUUUUCAAUUUAAUCACUUAACAGUUGUAUGCUGUGUCUGAAACCUGUCUGUGCUAAGGUGUGUGAAUAUUGCCAGUUUUCUAUUUAUUACAGUGAUGAAGAAACUAGAAACUUAGGAAAGGGGAGCACAGCCAGCUCCUGACUCUGAGCAGCUUGUGUGGGAACAAUGAGUGGGGGCUUGCCAGUGAGCUUCCUCUCCGGGACCACUGCAGCAGGCUGACUGAACCUCCCCAAGGGAGCUUGUGACUAUGCUUUGGCAAAGGCUUCCUGACUAGAAUCCAUUCUGUCCAGUGCUCAUUUAAUAUAAAAGUCAACAUUUCACUGC
rnacentral:lncRNA from 1 species